AGAGAAGAGCGAUCACUAUGAGCAAGAGCCCGACUAUGUAGUACUUCUGGAGGCACCGGUUUCUCUCCCUCUCUUGCCGUAUCAUUCACUUCAAGUAACUCUUUUCCGCUUCGGCUCUGCUGUCGAACCCUCUGUGGCUAGCGCCCGGGUACCUGUCCACCUGGGUCUGAGCGUCUGGCCAGUGGUCGCACACUCCUAGAACCCUCACAAUGAAUACGACAUAGCAGCCUUUGCCAUCUCAGAUCUAUGUACCUGCAUCGUAAGUUGAUGAAUUGAAUGAUAAUAUGCAACAUAAUGUACUUGAGAAACACAAAGAGGCAUAAUUAGGAAAAUACAAGCAACCUAUAGUAAACAUAAAUAACGAAGUUCCUCAUACACAAACUAAUUAACUAGAGCGAUGUAUCCUAGUUCAUAGAAAGACAGUGCUACUAAUUAUAAACACACAUUGUCAUCGUCAAUCACUACUUCAUGUCGGCGCUCCAAUCUUCAUAGUCAGGGAUAAAGGACCCAAGCUUAUUGAAAGGAUUCAGGUCCAAAAGCUGAGCGAGUAGCAGCUCUCGAACAUUGUCCCGCCUCAUUGGCCCAUGGAAGAACAUCCCUCCUUAUUCGACGACCUGCUUCAUGAUCACCUUGGCAAGUUCACACUGUAUGUAAUAAAACUCAGCUCGGAUUCGAUGAUUUUGUGUCCUUCCUAUGCUUGUGACCCAGUUGACAAUCUCGGCAUCACCGGAAGUAGCUGACAUGCGAAGGCGUUGUUUAUCCCUUCUAUACUCGAUCAUGUGAUGAAUGAGGUAUAAUCUAUCAGCCUUACUAUCAUUAGGUUGCUGGAUGCAACAGAACUCGGUCUUAUGGCCGAAAGCCGGUUUUUUAUUCUUGUACUUUUUCACCUAGAUAUAUCCACCAGUAAGGUUGAAGGUUAAAAUGGCACUAUCGAGAACACUCUUUAUGUGCCCGUAAUCCUUUUUUUGAUGUUCUUCGUUGAGUACAAGUAAAGAACAUGAAAGUAUUAUGGAUACUUCUCAAAUAAAUACUCUUCAAAUUAGCCUCCAUUCUUGCAAAGGAAUCAUCAAAACUUACAUAAGAAUAUCCGCGAAUAACUUACGUGGGAUAAUAAGGCGCGAGAAUCAUUUCAUUGUCAUUAUUAGCGAUCAUGAACUCGUAUAAUCAUGAUGCUCUUUGCACGCUGUCAAAAAGCUCUCGUGCAUAUAAUACGAAUCCACGAUACAGAUAUAGUACGGGUCCGCUACCAAAGAUCACACUCACGAUCGUCGGCACAUGUGUGCUCUUCCGCCCCUGGUUGACCUUAGCAGAUCACUACCACAACGUCGGGAAGAAUUCAUACCAGAUCAGGGCCACGAUGUUGUGGAGAAUAGACACCUUGAUGGAUCACAUGAAGUAUCCUCGUUGGCGUUUUCGGCAACGAUGUGCUCCUCGUUUCCACUCCCCGUUAACAUCCAUGUCACCAUUGCUGGCAACAGCAAUGAUGUGCGAGAAACUCCAAGAUUGCUGGCGAAUGUUGUGGUUACUUAUUUAGGUCAUGGCCAGGAGAAGUUUAUAAAGAAAAACUGCAGGUUUAGGACCGUUUCAUGAAAU
rnacentral:lncRNA from 1 species